rnacentral:rRNA from 1 species
UACGUAGGGAGCAAGCGUUGUUCGGAAUGACUGGGCGCAAAGGGUGCGUAGGUGGUUUGACAAGUUGGUAGCGCAACUCCGGGGCUCAACCUCGGCACUACUACCAAAACUGUUGAACUUGAGUGCAGGAGGGGCAAAUGGAAUUCCUAGUGUAGCGGUGGAAUGCGUAGAUAUUAGGAGGAACACCAGUGGCGAAGGCGAUUUGCUGGACUGUAACUGACACUGAGGCACGAAAGCGUGGGGAGCAAAAAGG